rnacentral:lncRNA from 1 species
CCUGGGGAUUCCUUAUUCUCCCCAUCCUAUUUCUGGGAUCUUCCCUUCCCUGUUCCUCCCCCUCUCGCCGUUCCCAUCUCUAUUUCUGGGCUCCCCCUUGUGUCCCCAUCCCUGUUCCUGGGGUCCCUGGGAUCCCCUCUCUGUCCCCAUCCCUGUCCCUCGUGUCCCCAUUCCCGGCAUCGCCAUUCCCGGCACUUCCCACACUCCCAACCUCCGCUCCCGGAGCUCCUCCGAGCCCGGGACCCCCGGGAUUCCCGGCAUCUCCCCCCGUCCCUUCUCCCCCGCCCCUCACCGCCGAUCCCGUCCCCGGUUGCCGAGCCCUUCCCCGUUACCGUUCUCAGUUCCCGUCCCCGGUUCCCGACCCCGAUCCCAAUCCCGUCCCCGAUCCCGUCCCCGAUCCCGUCUCCAUCUCCAUCCCGUCCCUGCUUCCCGUCCCCGGUCCCCGGUCCCGAUCCGGUCCCGGUCUCACCGCCGCCUCCCGCCUCUCCGCCCCUCCCUUCCCGUUCCCGUCCCCGGUGCCCGUCCCCGGUGCCCGUUCCCGGUCUCACCGCCGCCUCCCGCCUCUCUGUCCCUCCCUUCCCGUUCCCGUUCCCGUUCCCGUCCCCGGUGCCCGUUCCCGGUCUCACCGCCGCCUCCCGCCUCUCCGCCCCUCCUCUCGUUCCCGUUCCCGUGCCCGUUCCCGGUCGCCGUGCCGGGUGCCCGUUCCCGUCCCCGGUGCCCGUCCCCGGUGCCCGUUCCCGGUCUCACCGCCGCCUCCCGCCUCUCCGCCCCUCCCUUCCCGUUCCUGCGGGGCCCGGCGGGGCCGGGGCGGCCCGGGGGGGUUCGGGGAGCGCGGCCCGGCCCCGCCUCCCACCGAGAGCGGCCUUAAAGCGACACGAGGGGGUGGCAGCGGGACCGCCUGGCCUUGGGGACACCUCGGGGACGCCUCGGGGACACUUUGGGGACACCGUGGGGACACCUCGGUACCGAGAGGGGCGAAGGCCGCGACACCUCCAGACCCCUCUCAGGGCAGCACGGCCGAACCGGGAGCCACCGAGUGUCCCCGCGGGUGACAAACCAGGAGCCACCGAGUGUCCCCGCGGGUGA